UGUCCGGGAUGAAGCACGGUUCCACGCCUACGAUAAUGUUUUGUCACGCUUUCUUGAGGUUGGGAAGAAGAAAUCUGACGCUGCACGAUCAAAUGGCUCUAGCUUGGCUCCUGUGGAAUGUGACAGUGCCGUAUCUGCGCCAGUGGCAGCCCGGAAGACAAGACUGAAGAAGCGGCCCUUAGCGAACUAUGACACCGACAGUGGCACUGAUGAAAGCGUGGUGUUAGCAUCACAGGUAAAAGAAGCAGAGAAAGAGGCACAGAGGCUAAAACGGGACCUGCAAACAGAGCGCGAAAAGAAUUCUGAGCUUCUGGGGCACGUGAGGUUCCUUGAAUCCAAGCUUGAAGACAAAGCUAACAGGAGCACCUGAUAUUAAUAUAGCAUUUUGCUAAAUCUGGUUCC